rnacentral:tRNA from 1 species
GGAUUGUGGCUCAGUGGUGGAGCGCUUGCCUCGCAUGCAUGGGGCCCUGUGUUCGAUCCUUACCACCA